rnacentral:rRNA from 1 species
UACGGAGGGUGCGAGCGUUGUCCGGAAUCACUGGGCGUAAAGGGCGCGUAGGCGGCGCGGGUAGUCAUCGGUGAAAGUUCAGGGCUCAACUCUGAAUCGGCCGGUGAUACUCCCGUGCUCGAGCACUGUAGAGGCAGGUGGAAUUCCGGGUGUAGCGGUGGAAUGCGUAGAGAUCCGGAAGAACACCGGUGGCGAAGGCGGCCUGCUGGGCAGUAGCUGACGCUGAUGCGCGACAGCGUGGGGAGCAAACAGG